UGGGGAAUAUUGCACACUGGGCGCAAGCCUGAUGCAGCAACGCCGCGUGAACGAUGAAGGUCUUCGGUUCGUAACGUUCUGUCGCAGGGGUUGAUAAUGACGGUACCCUGUGAGGAAGCCCCGGCUAACUCCUUGCCAGCAGCCUCGGUAAUACGUAGGGGGCUAGCGUUAUCCGGAUUUACUGGGCGUAAAGGGUGCGUAGGUGGUCUUUCAAGUCGGUGGUUAAAGGCUACGGCUCAACCGUAGUUAGCCUCCGAAACUGGAAGACUUGAGUGCAGGAGAGGAAAGGGGAAUUCCCAGUGUAGCGGUGAAAUGCGUAGAUAUUGGGAGGAACACCAGUAGCGAAGGCGGCUUUCUGGACUGCAACUGACACUGAGGCACGAAAGCGUGGGUAGCAAACAGG
rnacentral:rRNA from 1 species